rnacentral:tRNA from 1 species
GGCGAGAUGGCCGAGUGGUCUAAGGUGCUGGUUUUAGGCAAAAGUCUCGUCGGAGGCGUGGGUUCCAAUCGCAGUCUCGUCA